UUCUAAACAUUACAUUUUAGGUAGGUGCUUGUUAAUCGUGUAUCGUGUCUUAAAAUUUGUGAGUUACAAAAGCGUUUAUUUUGAAUACCAGAAUUAGAACAGAACAUAUAAACAAGUGGAACAAAUAUGUACUUAUAAUAGUUAAUGUUUGAAUUUAUGCUCAGAUAUCUAGUCACCGACACUUUCUUGGAAUAUUUUUUGUGAUAAACAUAAUAGAACGUUACAUACGCUUCGAGUUGUUAUGUAAUAAAUGUUACGAUGAAGUCGGUUGAACAAUGGUUUCAAAAUGGAUAAGAACCCCUCAUUAAAUACAAGUUUAUAAAUAAUAAAAAACGAAGGAAACUGUCCGUGUUGGCCAUUACUAAUAUUAGUAAUUCUUGUUCCAUGAGCUACGGCGCCUGGUAGUCGGGAUGGUGUUUGCUUAUCUAAUUCGACCACGCUUUAAGUAUUGUGUAAAACCAUUAUCCACUAUGGAUUUAUGGUUAUUAUGAUAAAAAAUUGAAAAUAAUAAUAAAUAGUAACUUAGCAA